GACGAACGCUGGCGGCGCGCCUAACACAUGCAAGUCGAACGAGCGAGAGAGAGCUUGCUUUCUCGAGCGAGUGGCGAACGGGUGAGUAACGCGUGAGGAACCUGCCUCAAAGAGGGGGACAACAGUUGGAAACGACUGCUAAUACCGCAUAAGCCCACAGCUCGGCAUCGAGCAGAGGGAAAAGGAGCAAUCCGCUUUGAGAUGGCCUCGCGUCCGAUUAGCUAGUUGGUGAGGUAACGGCCCACCAAGGCGACGAUCGGUAGCCGGACUGAGAGGUUGAACGGCCACAUUGGGACUGAGACACGGCCCAGACUCCUACGGGAGGCAGCAGUGGGGAAUAUUGCACAAUGGGGGAAACCCUGAUGCAGCGACGCCGCGUGGAGGAAGAAGGUCUUCGGAUUGUAAACUCCUGUUGUUGAGGAAGAUAAUGACGGUACUCAACAAGGAAGUGACGGCUAACUACGUGCCAGCAGCCGCGGUAAAACGUAGGUCACAAGCGUUGUCCGGAAUUACUGGGUGUAAAGGGAGCGCAGGCGGGAAGACAAGUUGGAAGUGAAAUCCAUGGGCUCAACCCAUGAACUGCUUUCAAAACUGUUUUUCUUGAGUAGUGCAGAGGUAGGCGGAAUUCCCGGUGUAGCGGUGGAAUGCGUAGAUAUCGGGAGGAACACCAGCGGCGAAGGCGGCCUACUGGGCACCAACUGACGCUGAGGCUCGAAAGUGUGGGUAGCAAACAGGAUUAGAUACCCUGGUAGUCCACACUGUAAACGAUGAUUACAUAGGUGUUGGAGGAUUGACCCCUUCAGUGCCGCAGUAACACAAU
rnacentral:rRNA from 1 species